UAAUGCRUUAAGCUAACCAGUACUAAUUGCCCGUAAGGCUUGAUCCUAUAACC
rnacentral:rRNA from 1 species